UACGAAGGGGGCUAGCGUUGUUCGGAUUUACUGGGCGUAAAGCGCACGUAGGCGGACUAUUAAGUCAGGGGUGAAAUCCCGGGGCUCAACCCCGGAACUGCCUUUGAUACUGGUAGUCUUGAGUUCGAGAGAGGUGAGUGGAAUUCCGAGUGUAGAGGUGAAAUUCGUAGAUAUUCGGAGGAACACCAGUGGCGAAGGCGGCUCACUGGCCCGGUACUGACGCUGAGGUGCGAAAGCGUGGGGAGCAAACAGG
rnacentral:rRNA from 1 species